rnacentral:lncRNA from 1 species
GGUACCCUGGGGGUUGAAGACUGAAUCGAUGGGGUAGCAGGUGCUAGUCUCGGUAGAGUCCACGAGACUCUAGAACCAUGCAGUAUGGUGGAAAACGCAUCAUUUUGCCAUCACUAUGAAGCUCCACCUCUAGGUCGUAGGGACUAGUGUAGAUAUAACGGUUGCCCUCAACCCUCAUUGCUCCUUCUUGGAGCAUCGUGAAAUGGUGGCAGCAAAUCAUGGAUCUAUCUAUCUAAAGAAAACAAUGUACAAGUACACAAGACAAGAAGGGGGAGUAAGACAUCUAAUGAAUGUUAUUCAUUGACGGCGUGGAAUUACAGAAAAUAUCACACCAAGACAUAAAAACAAAUAACAGACGUAACAUGUUAUCACAUACAUAACUGCCAAUGAUGAAUGAUGUUUGUACUCAGGAUAUGAGGAUGGAUAUCCACGAUUAAAAUAAAUGAAUAAUAUUCUUGAUUCAUCCAUCCUUACGCCAAUAUCCUCCCAAUAAACUAUUCAAAAAUAACCGAGAGUACAUGUCCCAUAACAAUCCGAUUUGAAAGCACCAAUUCAUUAUUCACAGGGAUAUGUGAUCCAUAUGUUCCAAAGUAAAU